GGCGGGAUCAAGCCGGAAGUUGGCUCCCUUUCACUUCCUGCUUCCGGUCGGCGGUUUUUUCUGACAACGACAUCCAGUUUUGUUGUGUAGCUAAACUGGAGUUUCUUGGCCUCUUGGUUCUCACUCUGGAUACAUUCCUGAAACAAAUACAACAACAUAUUGAACUGACUGAAAGAAACAGUGAAUGCUAAGGAGGUCCACCUUGCCUGAAUGGUCCUGGCCCCUUUAACACUGGAACAUCUUGGUUCAGAAGAUGAACCAGAAGGUGGAGCAGAAAAUGCUGUAGCGAAGAUUUCUCCCUAGAUGGAAUAAGCUACAACCAAGUAAGAGAAAUGCUAAGCAGACUUACAAAGACACAUAGGAAGAUGAAUCUCCACAAGGGCAGUACUGGGACUGGUUACAUAAUUCCCAGGUGGCACAGUAUCUUUUCGGGAGUAUCACAGUGUUCAUCCUUAUGUGUUUUAACAUUCCCCCCUCUGCAGUUCUCAGAUAGAUGUAAGAACAUUCUGUUCAGUGACUCUGCCCGUGAGGGAAGUAAGUGAUGCAAACAUGGUCCACAUUUUUCUAUGCUGCCUCUUCUGUAUGGCCAUUCACAGCAUCAGGACAGGCUGUGACAAUAAAACUUUCCAAGUGUUCCAGAUGUAAACAUUCCACUAAGAGAUAAAGACUCCAAGUUCUCCUGGUCAAUAGUAAAAUUCUGUUUGGCAAUUGCUAAAUAUGGCACUGUUGCAAGGCAAACCAAAAUGUAGGAAGUAAGAAAUCAGUGCUCUUUUCUUUUAUUAUUGUAUCUUACAUUGAUCUGAGGACAUGUAUCUUUUACUUUGUAUUACUAUUUGAAGUACUGUAGUAUGAGAAUCUUUGAUGCUAGUCUGUACCCUUAAUAAAGUUUAUUGUUCCUUUAUUUAUCCUAUUGUUUUGAAAACUGACCAUAAGAUUAGAAAAUAUUAUUUCAUACAUUUGCAUCUCAUCUUUCCUCUAAAGCUAAGAUGGGAAUCUGCAGUACACUAAGUAAUUAAAAUAUGGAUGUAACAACAUCCAGGGACUUCUAGGCCUGCUUUAAAGCCAAGAGGUGAGUGCAAAACGUUGUUUGAAGUCACCAAAAGAAAUUUAGAUUAUGAAAAUGGCAGGAGAACUGUUGUGGAAAAAAAGGACCUAACUUCUGCUUUAGUCAGAAAUAUACAAGAUAAUAUACUUGUAUAAACCUCACUGUAAGGCUGACAAGCCUCCAAACAUGUUGGUUGGCACUGUUGAGCUUAUGAGAAUAUAGUAGUUUGUCAAUUCUUGUACAGGUAGUCCUUGCUUAUCAACUGCCUUGUUUAGCAACUAUUCAAAGUAACAACGGUGUUAAAACCAGCUCUGCAACGAAUCCUCACAUUUAUGACCAUCACAGCAUCCCAAGGUCACCAUUUGCAUGCUUCCCAACCAGCUUGCGACAGCAGUUAACGGAAAAUGCGGAAGUAAAAUUGUAGGUCAUGGUCAUGUGGUGUUUCACUUAAUGACUGCGGUGACU